UGCAAGUCGAGCGGAGAGAGGUAGCUUGCUACUGAUCUUAGCGGCGGACGGGUGAGUAAUGCUUAGGAAUCUGCCUAUUAGUGGGGGACAACAUUUCGAAAGGAAUGCUAAUACCGCAUACGUCCUACGGGAGAAAGCAGGGGAUCUUCGGACCUUGCGCUAAUAGAUGAGCCUAAGUCGGAUUAGCUAGUUGGUGGGGUAAAGGCCUACCAAGGCGACGAUCUGUAGCGGGUCUGAGAGGAUGAUCCGCCACACUGGGACUGAGACACGGCCCAGACUCCUACGGGAGGCAGCAGUGGGGAAUAUUGGACAAUGGGCGGAAGCCUGAUCCAGCCAUGCCGCGUGUGUGAAGAAGGCCUUAUGGUUGUAAAGCACUUUAAGCGAGGAGGAGGCUACUUUAGUUAAUACCUAGAGAUAGUGGACGUUACUCGCAGAAUAAGCACCGGCUAACUCUGUGCCAGCAGCCGCGGUAAUACAGAGGGUGCAAGCGUUAAUCGGAUUUACUGGGCGUAAAGCGCGCGUAGGCGGCUAAUUAAGUCAAAUGUGAAAUCCCCGAGCUUAACUUGGGAAUUGCAUUCGAUACUGGUUAGCUAGAGUGUGGGAGAGGAUGGUAGAAUUCCAGGUGUAGCGGUGAAAUGCGUAGAGAUCUGGAGGAAUACCGAUGGCGAAGGCAGCCAUCUGGCCUAACACUGACGCUGAGGUGCGAAAGCAUGGGGAGCAAACAGGAUUAGAUACCCU
rnacentral:rRNA from 1 species